GGAUUGCCCUAGUAACGGCGAGUGAAGCGGCAACAGCUCAAAUUUGAAAUCUGGCGUCUUUGGCGUCCGAGUUGUAAUUUGCAGAGGGCGCUUUGGCAUUGGCAGCGGUCCAAGUUCCUUGGAACAGGACGUCACAGAGGGUGAGAAUCCCGUACGUGGUCGCUAGCCUUUACCGUGUAAAGCCCCUUCGACGAGUCGAGUUGUUUGGGAAUGCAGCUCUAAAUGGGAGGUAAAUUUCUUCUAAAGCUAAAUACUGGCCAGAGACCGAUAGCGCACAAGUAGAGUGAUCGAAAGAUGAAAAGCACUUUGGAAAGAGAGUUAAAAAGCACGUGAAAUUGUUGAAAGGGAAGCGCUUGCAGCCAGACUUGCCUGUAGUUGCUCAUCUAGGUUUCUACCUAGUGCACUCUUCUAUAGGCAGGCCAGCAUCAGUUUGGGCGGUUGGAUAAAGGUCUCUGUCAUGUACCUCUCUUCGGGGAGAACUUAUAGGGGAGACGACAUGCAACCAGCCUGGACUGAGGUCCGCGCAUCUGCUAGGAUGCUGGCGUAAUGGCUGUAAGCGGCCCGUCUUGAAACACGGACCAAGGAGUCUAACAUCUAUGCGAGUGUUUGGGUGUCAAGCCCGAGCGCGUAAUGAAAGUGAACGGAGGUGGGAACCUUUCGGGGUGCACCAUCGACCGAUCCUGAUGUCUUCGGAUGGAUUUGAGUAAGAGCAUAGCUGUUGGGACCCGAAAGAUGGUGAACUAUGCUUGAAUAGGGUGAAGCCAGAGGAAACUCUGGUGGAGGCUCGCAGCGGUUCUGACGUGCAAAUCGAUCGUCAAAUUUGGGCAUAGGGGCGAAAGACUAAUCGAACUAUCUAGUAGCUGGUUCCUGCCGAAGUUUCCCUCAGGAUAGCAGUAACGUUUUCAGUUUUAUGAGGUAAAGCGAAUGAUUAGAGGCCUGGGGGUUGAAACAACCUUCACCUAUUCUCAACUUUAAAUAUGUAAGAAGUCCUUGUUACUUGAUUGAACGUGGACAGU
rnacentral:rRNA from 1 species